rnacentral:rRNA from 1 species
GACGGAAGGUGCAAGCGUUGCUCGGAAUCACUGGGCGUAAAGGGUGCGUAGGCGGCUUGGUGGGUCUGGUGUGAAAGCCCCGGGCUCAGCCCGGGAAGGGCGCUAGAAACUGCCGAGCUCGAGUGCCGGAGGGGAGAGUGGAAUUCCUGGUGUAGCGGUGAAAUGCGUAGAUAUCAGGAAGAACACCCGUGGCUAAGGCGGUUCUCUAGUACGGUACUGACGCUGAGACGCGAAAGCGUGGGGAGCGAACAGG